rnacentral:rRNA from 1 species
AGAGUUUGAUCCUGGCUCAGAUUGAACGCUGGCGGAAUGCUUUACACAUGCAAGUCGAGCGGCAGCGCGGUCUUCGGACUGGCGGCGAGCGGCGAACGGGUGAGUAAUACAUCGGAACAUGCCCAGUCGUGGGGGAUAACACUUCGAAAGAAGUGCUAAUACCGCAUACGUCCUGAGGGAGAAAGCGGGGGAUCGCAAGACCUCGCGCGAUUGGAGUGGCCGAUGUCAGAUUAGCUAGUUGGUGGGGUAAAGGCCUACCAAGGCAACGAUCUGUAGCUGGUCUGAGAGGAUGAUCAGCCACACUGGGACUGAGACACGGCCCAGACUCCUACGGGAGGCAGCAGUGGGGAAUUUUGGACAAUGGGGGCAACCCUGAUCCAGCCAUUCCGCGUGAGUGAAGAAGGCCUUCGGGUUGUAAAGCUCUUUCGGCAGGAACGAAACGGCGAGCUCUAACAUAGCUCGCUAAUGACGGUACCUGAAGAAGAAGCACCGGCUAACUACGUGCCAGCAGCCGCGGUAAUACGUAGGGUGCGAGCGUUAAUCGGAAUUACUGGGCGUAAAGCGUGCGCAGGCGGUUGUGUAAGACAGGUGUGAAAUCCCCGGGCUUAACCUGGGAACUGCGCUUG